CUCAAAAGAGCUUUACUUCCUGGUCAAUGUUACCUUUGCUUCUUAGUUUUUUCAUGACAGACGUCCUGAGGAUUAAUCCUUCAUUCAACUACAGUACAAUGAAUCCUUCGCCUCAGGGUCAGCCAAUUCAUCCUGGUCACACCAUCUGGUCCUUGCCUCACCAUCCUCGUCCUUCCCCUACCCAAGGCCAGUGCCUGUUGACGUCUACCUGGAUCUCCAGAUUACACUCCUACUUCGCCCAUUUACUAAGUUUAUUUAUAAUAAACAUAUAAACAUUUCCUCUUUUAUCCA